UCGGUUAGGUAUCAGCUGGCUUCUCGUCGAGAGCGUUUUGACGUCAUUGAAUCAUGUCAAGUAAGAAAGAAGAAGCCUUGGCACACAUAAAGGAAGCUGAAAAAUACCUGAAAACA